GGGGUCAUCAUAGCUCACAGCAACCUCCAACUCCUGGGCUCAGAUCUGAAUAAAGAAAAGGAGCCAGCAAUGCAAACAGGCUGGGGCAAGAUUAACUUUCUGAACAAGACAGCCUGUGGGAAUAACACCGGAGAAGGAAGAUGUCUUGGCGACUGGAGGAACCAAAAGACCAGUGUCACUGGAGCUUAGUGAGGCAGCGAGUACAGGAGGUAUGGUUACCAAGGUUUCUCCCACUGGACUAGCACAAUGGCAUGUAAAAACAAAGGAAGUAACCCAUUCUAACAAGCUGACACCUCUGCUACUUACUCGCUCCUUCAGUCAGACUCUCAGUUUCCUCCUCUGUGAAACAAGGGUUGUCCUAUUGCCAGAAUGUCGGUCUGAGCUGGACUGUCAAUGACCAUCCUUGCUACAGUGAGGGGAAAGCCUGGCUGAGAAUGAAGCCGAAACAGAUGGCAGCAGAGUCGAGGGGUGGUAUGAAGAUGACAGCAUGGAGCUGCUGGAUUCAGCCAUUCCUGAAAGAAGAUCUGCUCCUGAACUUUUCUUUCAGUGAGGCAGUACAUUCAUUUUUGACUUAAGGCAUUUCUUAGGUUUCUGACAUUUGCAACUAAAAGUACUUUGACUAAUAUAAAGGCCUUUGGAAAAUGACUACAGUCCACCUCUUCUGAACUCCCAGCCUGGCUCAGUGCUGGGAUGUAAUCAGGGCUCCGUAACUCUUCACCCGUUCUGUUGAACCACAAGGAGUCCAGGAGAGUCCGGUGGGUUGGAAGAUAAAGGACAGUUUGGGGCUACGUGAGAGCAAGCUCAGAGUGGAGAGGAAGCAGACAGGAGGCUUGACAAGUGAUUUGGAAGAGCAAGGGGUUCUUCCAGGCUGGCUUCCAGCCUUUCUGAUGUUCCCAGCAUCUUCACCCUGACUGCUCCUCCCCCCCCCACACACACUGGGCAUCUAUCUAGAGGCUCUGUAAGCAGCCAUUUUGUUUACUAACAAAAUCCCAAAGUUGUUUCCCCUCCUAAAAGUGGCAAUGUCCUUAGGGGAGCUACACCCCUGCCCACCUCUUGCAUUUUGAUUGGUCCAAGCCAAGCAUGGGGGCAUGUGCCUCUUGCCACGAGAGUGGUUGCAGCACAGGCACAUGAUACAAUUUCUGGUUAAUGAGGCAUGUAGAGAAAUGGCUACAGGCAUUCUGGGUAGAUUGUUCUGUUCUCAAAAAGAGGCAUGAAGUUAAACAUAGAGUUACCCUAUGACCCAGCAAUUCCACUCCUACGUAUAGACCCAAGUGAACUAAGGAUAUGUUCACAGAAAAACAUGUGCACGAGUGUUCCUAGCAGCAUUGUUCACAAUAGCCAAUGGUAGAAACUACCCAAGUGUUCAUGAAAAGCUGGAUGGAUAAACAAAAAAAAAACCCCAUAGAUUCUUAUCCAGCCUUAAAAGGGAGGGGAAGUUCUG